rnacentral:rRNA from 1 species
GCUUGCCCCGGGGCAGAGCCGCGAACGGGUGAGUAACACGUGGGUUACCUGCCCCAAUGACCGGGACAACCCGAGGAAACUCGGGCUAAUACCGGAUGUGGUCUCCGGACGAAAGGAAGCUUCGGCCUCCGCAUUGGGAUGGGCCCGCGGCGCAUUAGCUUGUUGGUGGGGUAACGGCCUACCAAGGCGACGAUGCGUAGCUGGUCUGAGAGGACGAUCAGCCACACUGGGACUGAGACACGGCCCAGACUCCUACGGGAGGCAGCAGUGGGGAAUCUUGCGCAAUGCGCGAAAGCGUGACGCAGCAACGCCGCGUGGGGGAAGAAGGCCUUCGGGUUGUAAACCUCUUUCAGUUGGGACGAAGCUUCGCGGGUUAAUAGCCUGCCGGAGUGACGGUACCUUCAGAAGAAGCCCCGGCUAACUACGUGCCAGCAGCCGCGGUAAUACGUAGGGGGCAAGCGUUGUCCGGAAUCAUUGGGCGUAAAGAGCGUGUAGGCGGCCCGAUAAGUCCGCUGUGAAAGUCCAGGGCUCAACCCUGGAAUGCCGGUGGAUACUGUCGGGCUCGAAUCCGGAAGAGGUGAGUGGAAUUCCUGGUGUAGCGGUGAAAUGCGCAGAUAUCAGGAGGAACACCAGUGGCGAAGG